rnacentral:rRNA from 1 species
UACGUAGGGUGCGAGCGUUGUCCGGAAUUACUGGGCGUAAAGAGCUCGUAGGUGGUUUGUCGCGUUGUCCGUGAAAACUCACAACUCAAUUGUGGGCGUGCGGCGAUACGGGCAGACUGGAGUACUGCAGGGGAGACUGGAAUUCCUGGUGUAGCGGUGGAAUGCGCAGAUAUCAGGAGGAACACCGGUGGCGAAGGCGGGUCUCUGGGCAGUAACUGACGCUGAGGAGCGAAAGCGUGGGGGGAGCGAACAGG